CGAACGCUGGCGGCGUGCCUAACACAUGCAAGUCGAGCGAGAAAGUCUUCGGAUGAGUAAAGCGGCGGACGGGUGAGUAAUACGUAGGUAAUCUACCUUUUGUGGGGAAUAACUAAGGGAAACUUUAGCUAAUACCGCAUACGGUUUCAGAUCUUAUGGUCUGAAAAGAAAGGGGGGUCGCAAGAUCUCUCGCAAAAAGAUGAGCCUGCGCAUGAUUAGCUAGUUGGUGAGGUAAUGGCUCACCAAGGCGACGAUCAUUAGCAGAUCUGAGAGGAUGAUCUGCCACACUGGAACUGACACACGGUCCAGACUCCUACGGGAGGCAGCAGUGGGGAAUAUUGCACAAUGGAGGAAACUCUGAUGCAGCGACGCCGCGUGGGUGAUGAAGGCCUUCGGGUUGUAAAGCCCUGUCGGCUGGGAACAAGUUAGACGUGCUCAUACCACGUUUGAUUGAGUGUACCAGCAAAGGAAGCACCGGCUAACCCUGUG
rnacentral:rRNA from 1 species